AGCAGCCGCGGUAAUUCCAGCUCCAAUAGCGUAUAUUAAAGUUGCUGCAGUUAAAAAGCUCGUAGUUGAAUUUCGGAACCAAUAUGUUGGUUGUGCCUCGGUACGUACUGGCAUUGUUGGUUUCUCCCUUCUGACGAACUAUGAUGUCAUUAAUUUGGUGUCAUGGGGAAUCAGGACUGUUACUUUGAAAAAUUAGAGUGUUUAAAGCAGGCUCACGCUUGAAUACAUUAGCAUGGAAUAAUGAAAUAGGACGUUUGAUUCUAUUUUGUUGGUUUCUAGGAUUGACGUAAUGAUUAAUAGGGAUAGUUGGGGCAUUAGUAUUCAAUUGUCAGAGGUGAAAUUCUUGGAUUUAUUGAAGACUAACUACUGCGAAAGCAUUUGCCAAGGAUGUUUUACAUUAAUCAAGAACGAAAGUUAGGGGAUCGAAGA
rnacentral:rRNA from 1 species